rnacentral:lncRNA from 1 species
UUUUUCACUAAUGAGCAGAUUUUAGAAAAUUCUGUAACUACCGGGGGGCACUGCUAUUAACUUUUUUCAAUUAAUUUGGUUAAGCCACUAUGCUUCCUCCUCAGGAAAUUAAAAUGAGUUUAAUUUAAUCUGUGCUUUCCUGGCGUGAGGAGGUGUGGGAUUUCUGCUACUUAAUUAUUUUGUGGCCCCUAGCUCUAAGUCCUUGCACAAGUGGGAUAUAUUUUGAAUAUUGACCAUCUAGCUUGAUGUCUCAUACAAAAAGAUAUUUUUUACACAGUUUUUAAUAUUUCCAUAGUUUAUUUUCAAAGGGACUGUAAUGCAUAUUACUUAUUAAAAGCAUUUUUUCCCCCAACUUUGAUGGGGAAAAGCAUAUCAACAGAUACCUACUUUUGUAGAUGGCUAUAAAAAUUGUUACCCAAAAGGCUUUCUUAGAGCAAAUUGUCUCUUAUGAUUAUUCCUGCCUGCCUCCAUGGGAUCUGUCUUUAUAUUGUUGGAGAGAAUAGCA